GAUGAACGCUAGCGAUAGGCUUAACACAUGCAAGUCGAGGGGCAGCAUGGUCUUAGCUUGCUAAGACUGAUGGCGACCGGCGCACGGGUGCGUAACGCGUAUGCAACUUGCCUCACAGAGGGGGAUAACCCGUCGAAAGACGGACUAAUACCGCGUACACUCUAUUUUGGGCAUCCAAGGUAGAGGAAAUGAAAUUCGCUGUGAGAUAGGCAUGCGUCCCAUUAGCUAGUUGGUGAGGUAACGGCUCACCAAGGCGACGAUGGGUAGGGGAACUGAGAGGUUGAACCCCCACACUGGUACUGAGACACGGACCAGACUCCUACGGGAGGCAGCAGUGAGGAAUAUUGGUCAAUGGGCGAGAGCCUGAACCAGCCAAGUCGCGUGAAGGAUGACUGUCUUAUGGAUUGUAAACUUCUUUUGUAGGGGAAUAAAGAGGGGCACGUGUGCCCCAGUGAAUGCACCCUACGAAUAAGCAUCGGCUAACUCCGUG
rnacentral:rRNA from 1 species